UUCACAAACCCAUCUGCCUUUGCCUUCUUAUAUCACUUCAUUCAUUUCUUUUCCUUCACAUUCUUCCUCCCUCUUUGGCUCUUUCACUCACUGUCCUAUCUCCAAACAAAACAGAGCUUCAAAAAUCUUGUCAAUGGCUACUGCCACCAACAGUACUUCGUCGAGGAAGGAUGUUCGUUGUUGUCACACUCAUCGGUGUAACCACAAGUACUGGAGGACAAAAUCGACUUCACGACCUUGACGGCGUUAUCCUGACUGAGCUUGUUUCUUAACCUUUUCCUCUUUUUCUUUUAUUUACUCUUAUUUUUUCUUUAUGGGUUUUCUUGACCUUGCAAGGCUUUUUUUGUUGUAACAAGUGUUUGUAAAUAAUUUUAGAUUCUUUUGUUUGCCUUGCGACGGCUAUGUUUAUGGUCGUUAGGUUUAUCUCAUUUUACGAGUUUUAUAUUCCUCCUGAGCUUUUUAUGGGCCUGUUGCAACGUUCCGAGAUUAUCAAUGAGAAAUCGAUUCUUUCUGUUUUGUAUUUGUUUCAUUGUGUUGUGUGGUAGGUUUAUGGUUUGAACUUUGAACACGAGAGAAAAUGUAAGGACUUCUACUAUCAAAGAUGAACACUUUCUGAGAA
rnacentral:lncRNA from 1 species